rnacentral:rRNA from 1 species
GUGGGGAAUCUUCCACAAUGGACGAAAGUCUGACGGAGCAACGCCGCGUGAGUGAUGAAGGUCUUCGGAUUGUAAAGCUCUGUUAAUCGGGACGAAAGAGCCUAGUGUGAAUAAUGCUAGGAAGUGACGGUACCGGAAUAGAAAGCCACGGCUAACUACGUGCCAGCAGCCGCGGUAAUACGUAGGUGGCAAGCGUUGUCCAGAAUUAUUGGGCGUAAAGCGCGCGCAGGCGGAUCUGCCAGUCUGUCUUAAAAGUUCGGGGCUUAACCCCGUGAUGGGAUGGAAACUACAGAUCUAGAGUAUCGGAGAGGAAAGUGGAAUUCCUAGUGUAGCGGUGAAAUGCGUAGAUAUUAGGAAGAACACCAGUGGCGAAGGCGACUUUCUGGACGAAAACUGACGCUGAGGCGCGAAAGCCAGGGGAGCGAACGGGAUUAGAAACCCUUGUAGUCC